ACGGGACCCGCACAAGCGUGGAUGAUGCGGAUUAAUUCGAUGCAACGCGAAAACCUUACCUACCCUUGACAUGUCCGGAAUCCCGAAGAGAUUUGGGAGUGCCCGCAAGAGAACCGGAACACAGGUGCUGCAUGGCUGUCGUCAGCUCGUGUCGUGAGAUGUUGGGUUAAGUCCCGCAACGAGCGCAACCCUUGUCAUUAGUUGCCAUCAUUUGGUUGGGCACUCUAAUGAGACUGCCGGUGACAAACCGGAGGAAGGUGGGGAUGACGUCAAGUCCUCAUGGCCCUUAUGGGUAGGGCUUCACACGUCAUACAAUGGUCGGUACAGAGGGUUGCCAACCCGCGAGGGGGAGCUAAUCCCACAAAGCCGAUCGUAGUCCGGAUCGCAGUCUGCAACUCGACUGCGUGAAGUCGGAAUCGCUAGUAAUCGUGGAUCAGCAUGUCACGGUGAAUACGUUCCCGGGUCUU
rnacentral:rRNA from 1 species